AAGUCGUAACAAGGUUUUCGUAGGUGAACCUGCGGAAGGAUCAUUAAAUUAAUAUUUUUUAAUCUAAUAAAAAACUUUUUUGAUUUUAGUUUUUUUUAUCACUGGGACUUUCUUUUCUCUCGCGGCUUUAGUUGAGGGACGAAAUGAAAAAAACGGUUUUAAAUAAAACAAAUCCCAAUCUUUUUAUUUUUUUUUUGGGGGCCACCUUUAACCAUUAUUUUAAACCAUUUAGUGCUUAUAAACACAUUCUAAAUUUAAUUUUUUAGUCUUAACUAUAAAAAUAACUUUCAACAACGGAUCUCUAGGCUCUU
rnacentral:misc_RNA from 1 species